ACUCUUCCAGCAGCUGUGUACAAUGUAAAAUUCAUUGUACACAGCUGCUGACAUUUUGUGUAGCAGACGCACAUCAGAAAGUAUGUGUUGUAGAUGUAACACAUACUUUCUGAUGUACCUACCAGCUGAAACCCCACACUUCUAUCCCCAUUAAUUUAAUUUUAAUUAUCCUGUGUUCUCUGUAGUGUUAUGUUUCCUUUGUAUUGAAAGCAGUCACAAUUGUCAUGUUUCCCAUGUAGUGUUAAGUUUCCUUUGUAAUGGACAGAAGACACAGUCCUCCUGUGUCCUCUUUAGUAUUGCGUUUCCUUUCCGAUGGACAGGAGACAAAGUUCUCAUGUGUCUUUGUAGUGUUAAGUUUCCUUUCCGAUGGACUGGAGACACAGUUAUCAUGUGUCUUUGUAGUGUUAAGUUUCCUUUCUGAUGGACAGGAGACACAGUCCUCCCUUGUCCUCUGUAAAGACAUCUUCUUGGCCUCACCUCCUUCUGCACUGUGAGGAUCAGCUCACAGCAUCUAAGACAUGACAAAGACUGCAGCACCAACUGAACUGUCAAUCAACUGAGGACCCAUCACAGUUAGACCUCAUAGGGACACAUUUGACUUCCUGCCUGUCCCCGUCAUUCUUCAAAGCAAAGGACGAGAAAACACCUGCCUGUCUUUGCCUCACUUCCUGUCUGGCUCUGAGAUUCUGGAUCAGCUCAUACCGACCAGGACAUCCUGCCACCACUGCAGCAGCAGAGCAGAUGUUGAAGCACCGUGUUAACUGUUCAUCAUCAGUGGACACAUGCUGGACCACAGAGACACGUGUUCUCCCUGCCAGUGUUGAGGUUUCUUCGCAACAGAUAAUAAGGUCUUCCUCCUUUCGGAUUCCUCCACUUCACAGUGAAGACACUCAGGACUGCAGAGAGGGCUGAACACAUAAAAGAAGCUCAACAUCAUCAAUUCAGUUGCACUGUACCUAUAUGUUGAUCUGCUCUGCAGCAGAGUUCAAGGAUCAGGUGUGUGACUGCAAGGAAGAGUCAUCAGUCAGUCAUCACUGUCCCAGUGACAGCCCCACCUUUAUGCAGCUUCAAGCUCCUCCCUAAACCAGCUGUAAAGGCCUCUCCUCCAUGUUGCUAUAGUAACACUAUCCUGACGUGAUGACUGGAGCCAAAGGUCAUAAUAUUACAGGUCUUUAAAGCAUACACUACUAACUCAUGAACAGUAUUACUACAGGACACCUGUCUAUUUUGUUUGUUUCAUCUCUACCGUAUUUGAUCUAACAAUAUAUGUAUUCUUUAUGUUUCAGCCACUUUUUUGUGUUAAUUGUUCUUAUUUAUUUAUUUAUGUCAUCCGUCCCUUUUCAGUCAGUUUUCUAACAGAUAUAUAAGAAAAUUAAGGAUGUAAAUGUUUGUUUGAUUGCCUCGUCCAUAUGAGCAAAUUAACAUCAAGGAAUGACAUAUUUGUAUCACAAUGAGUCAUUACUAUGGGGUUUCAGCUGGUAGAUAUAUUCAAGGUUUUUCACAUGUGUACACCGAUCCUUAGGAUAACCUAAGCUCUACUGAGACUGCCCAGUGUUAAAUUGUAAGACAUCAAGUGUGUCAUCUUCAGAUGGCUAAAACAUGACCAGGGCUCCUGGACCUUGAAGUCUUGAGCUGAGUAUUAACCUAGGUCUGGAAACAAUGUGAAAAGCCUUUAAUUAUAGGAAAUUAACCAUAUUGUUUACUAUUGAAACUAUAGUAAAUGUAUUCAUGAAUAACAAACAAAGGGACCAAUGUUCACAAAACUGUGUUGAUAAAUUUCUCACUCAUCUUACACAAAAUACAUUAUGGUCAAUACAACAGUACUUGUGCACUGUACUCAUCUAUAGUAUUUUAUUAUAUAUCGAUAGAAGAUAAUGAGUCAAAAAAGGAUGUAAAGACAGGAUGUAAAUGCAUCUUUUGAAAUAUAGCACCCACCUCAAACUACUGGUAGUGACAAAAUAAUAUUCUGCCUGGUCUGUGGUAUACAUCUAUUUAAAACGUUUUUCUUAUAGGCACUAUGGGUUCAUCUUGUGGGAUCUUUGUGGAUAAAAACGUCUUCCGCAGAAAGCCUUUCCUUUUUCUUGAUUUCCAAUUCUCUUUACAGUUCUUCUUUUUAAUUCGCUUGAGAGCACUUAAAUUAUGAUGAAUCAGUUUAACUGUAACUUAUUUCAGAUUAAUAAGUCAUCCUUACUUGAACAAUUAAAUAUACAAAGAGAAAAGCAUUUUUACUUUGCCAGUUUUCAUUUCCACAUGUACAGAGAAUCUUUAUUGACAUUUUUAUAAUUGCUAUUGUUUUUCCUCAAUAAAAUCGAGUGAUUUAUAUUUUUGCAUGAGCAAUAUGGCUGUUCUGUAUGUUAGUCUUUGACAUGCUAAUACUAAUUACUGUUUUAAUUCUUUUUAAAAUAUUGAUUCACAAAAUUGUAUUCUAAAUGUAAACAAAUAAAAUGUUUGUAAUGAGGUCACUGUCUGCUUUAUACUCGAUGCAACACUGAGACUACUACUGAUUUUUACGACUACACCUGCUGCUGCUACAGUUACUAUUGACAUAAAAAUGGUUGACUUAUUGGCAUUAACACUUUUUCAGCAAAGCCAUUGGAAAUUUCAAUAUUUUCAGCAAUUUCAAUUAAUUUAAUCUUUGAGCUUGCUGGUACUUUGUCAUUUCUAUAUCAUGAGCAUUUUUUUAAUUCAUUUCAGUUUUUCGGCUUGCUGGUACAUUUUCGGAUUUCUGUAUU